rnacentral:rRNA from 1 species
GAUCAUGGCUCAGGACGAACGCUGGCGGCGUGCCUAAUACAUGCAAGUAGAACGCUGAAGGAGGAGCUUGCUUCUCCGGAUGAGUUGCGAACGGGUGAGUAACGCGUAGGUAACCUGCCUGGUAGCGGGGGAUAACUAUUGGAAACGAUAGCUAAUACCGCAUAAAAUUGAUUAUUGCAUGAUAGUCAAUUAAAAGGUGCAAAUGCAUCACUACCAGAUGGACCUGCGUUG